GGCCAGGAGAAUAUGGGCGGGACACUCAUGGCGUGUUCUAUCUUGCCUGCUUUCUUUCUUAGGAAAUGACUGGAGGAUGCACUCCACCAAAACAACGGAGUGAAUCAAGAAAGAGGAAGAGGCAGAAUUUAGGAACCAGAAUAUUUGACAUAAGAGAUGAAGGGAAUCCCCAGGAUGUGGUGAAAGGGUGGAGUGGGGAACUGCCAGUUAUUAAUAUAGAACUAUUUGAUUCUUUCAACUAUGUGCAUGUUUAUUUUCGAUAUAAAUUAAAAUCAGUAAUUUGUCUUUUUUCUUCUGCUGCCUGAGAAAGGGAGGAGGUGAGACAGAGAAUGCGGAUCCUUCCUAGCUGAUAAGAACCUGGGAAGGUAAAGUGAAACUCUUUUGUUCCUUGGGUCCGUCAAUCCAACAGGGCCAUUCUCUUUCCAUCUCCCGUUUAGGCAGGAAGAGAAAUUCUGAGCAACUGGGAAAUUAAGACUUAAAAUAUUGAAAAGAGCUGUUGGUGCCAAACUGACCUAAAAUCUGGGGCUGCCCUAGGAGGGUUCUGACCCAAGGAAGUGAUCCAAGGUCUGUGGCCCUAUCAAGACACCAGAGUCUACCACUUUCUGAUCGCAGGCAAGACAGCCACGGGAAUGAGGCCUCCUGAAAACUGAUUUAGUCCUCCUUUCUCUUCCUAUGUUGGAGGAUGGAAGCCGCGUGAGGACGGGAGCCACGUCAGCUCUGUUUCCCACUGUGUCCUUAGUGUCAACGCAACCCCGGGGACAGCAGAUGGGGGGUGUCUGUGGCGAGCGGGAGUGAAGUGCUUUCGUCAUGCCCGGCACCACAGCAAGCCCUUCACACGUACCACCUCGCUUUUAUUCUCACGGCAACCCUAAAUACUGUCAUGUGGAGAGCCAGGCAUGCGUGCAGACAGAAGAGCAGGUGGAGGUGAAGGCAGAGAUGGCCCCGAUGCCGCAGAAGCCAAGGAAUAGCAACGAUGGCCAGAAAAACCACCCGAAGCUAGGACAGGGGCCUGGAACACAUUCUCCCUCACAGCCCUCGGGAGAACCAAUCCAGCAGACACCUUGAUCUCAGACUUCGAGCCGCCAGAGCUGGAGAGAAUCGAUUUCUGUUGUUUAAGCCCUCAGUUUGUGGUACAUUAUUGUGUUGUGGCAGCCCUAGCAAACUAAUAA